UAACGGCGAGUGAAGCGGCAACAGCUCAAAUUUGAAAUCUUGGCCCUCGGGUCCGAGUUGUAAUUUGUAGAGGAUGUUUCUGGCGACGUGUCUUCCGAGUUCCCUGGAACGGGACGCCAUAGAGGGUGAGAGCCCCGUCCGGUCGUACGCCUAGCCUCUGUGAAACUCCUUCGACGAGUCGAGUAGUUUGGGAAUGCUGCUCAAAAUGGGAGGUAUACGUCUUCUAAAGCUAAAUACCGGCCAGAGACCGAUAGCGCACAAGUAGAGUGAUCGAAAGAUGAAAAGCACUUUGAAAAGAGGGUUAAAUAGUACGUGAAAUUGCUGAAAGGGAAGCGCUCAUGACCAGACUUGGGCUCGGUGAAUCAUCCGGCGUUCUCGCCGGUGCACUUUGCCGGCCCAGGCCAGCAUCAGCUCGCCUCGGGGGAUAAAGGUUUCGGGAAUGUAGCUCCCUCGUGGAGUGUUAUAGACCGUUGCGUAAUACCCUGUGGCGGGCUGAGGUACGCGUUCUGCAAGGAUGCUGGCGUAAUGGUCAUCAGUGACCCGUCUUGAAACACGGACCAAGGAGUCGUCUUCGUAUGCGAGUGUUCGGGUGUCAAACCCCUACGCGUAAUGAAAGUGAACGUAGGAGAGAGCUUCGGCGCAUCUCCGACCGAUCCUGAUGUUCUCGGAUGGAUUUGAGUAAGAGCAUACGGGGCCGGACCCGAAAGAAGGUGAACUAUGCCUGUAUAGGGUGAAGCCAGAGGAAACUCUGGUGGAGGCUCGCAGCGGUUCUGACGUGCAAAUCGAUCGUCAAAUAUGGGCAUGGGGGCGAAAGACUAAUCGAACCUU
rnacentral:rRNA from 1 species